rnacentral:rRNA from 1 species
UACGAAGGGGACUAGCGUUGUUCGGAUUUACUGGGCGUAAAGCGCGCGUAGGCGGAUCGCUAAGUCAGGGGUGAAAUCCCAGGGCUCAACCCUGGAACUGCCUUUGAUACUGACGAUCUGGAGAUCGGGAGAGGUUGGUGGAAUUCCGAGUGUAGAGGUGAAAUUCGUAGAUAUUCGGAGGAACACCAGAGGCGAAGGCGGCCAACUGGCCCGAUACUGACGCUGAGGCGCGAAAGCGUGGGGAGCAAACAGG